rnacentral:rRNA from 1 species
UACGAAGGGGGGCUAGCGUUGCUCGGAAUCACUGGGCGUAAGGCGCACGUAGGCGGGUCUUUAAGUCGGAGGUGAAAUCCUGAGCUCAACUCCAGAACUGCCUUCGAUACUGAGGAUCUCGAGUCCGGAGAGGUGAGUGGAACUGCGAGUGUAGAGGUGAAAUUUCGUAGAAUAUUCGCAAGAACACCAGUGGCGAAGGCGGCUCACUGCCCGGUACUGACGCUGAGGUGAGACGGAGGCA